rnacentral:tRNA from 1 species
GGCUCGUUGGUCUAGGGGUACGAUUCUCGCUUAGGGUGCGAGAGGUCCUGGGUUCAAAUCCCGGACGAGCCC